UACGGGGGGGGGCAAGCGUUAUCCGGAAUGAUUGGGCGUAAAGCGUCCGCAGGUGGCAAUUCAAGUCUGCUGUUAAAGCGCAGGGCUUAACUCUGUAAAGGCAGUGGAAACUGAAUAGCUAGAGUGUGGUAGGGGCAGAGGGAAUUCCCAGUGUAGCGGUGAAAUGCGUAGAGAUUGGGAAGAACAUCGGUGGCGAAGGCGCUCUGCUGGACCAUAACUGACACUCACAGGACGAAAGCUAGGGGAGCGAAUGGG
rnacentral:rRNA from 1 species